UUAUUUUUUUUUAAUCCGUGGAACGACUUUUUCUACCAGAGAUCUCGCUCCGAUUUCCAAGUGUAUUACUAUUCCCGAAAGGAAAUUUGACUGUGAGGAGACUUUGAGAAGGACGUUUUUCGAUUUUCCCGCGGGUUUUCAUAACAGAUGAGAAAAACCGGUAAAAAACGUAGGGAAAUUUACGCAUGCGUGUAUACAAUAAACUUCGUUCCGAAUCGUGUUUCGUUACCAAUGGUUUA